UGCAGCCAACAAUCCAAAUACACUGACCUAAAAUUUCCACGGUGGUGUGAUUUGUUGGCUGCCCUGGACUUUCUCCAUUGUUGCUGCAGCUGUCAUUGCGGGGGAAGGGGCUUUCUGGAGUUCAGACUUUCAGAGCAGAAAGAAACGAAAACAGCUCAAAGAGUUGAUUAUGUGCGGACUGCUGACAGAGCUUUAGCAUUCUAUAGUCACUGGCUCUGAAAUACUUGUAAGCUCAACGAUUUCAAGGGAAUUUUCUUUUGAGAGCACAAAGCACUCUCACCCAGAGUGUGAGCUAUCGGGCAGAAUACUUAACUACGCAGCUGUCAAUCAACAUUUCCCCUCUUGAUUGACAAACGUCCACGAAGUGCCUAGCACUGUGCUGGUUGCUGUGGAAGAUAUAAAAGAAAUAUAGCAGCUGCCCGGGAGUAGGACCCGGUAGAGGUGGGGCAUACUUAAAACCUUGGGAAGCCGGUUUGAGCCCACCCUCACCUCUGCUCGCUUCCUGGCUUGAUUACCUGUGUUUGGCAUAGAGAAGAAACUUCAUAAAUGCUUGUUGAUUGAUUCAAUUCCCCCAAUCCAGAAGAAAAGGAGUUGCCAAGAAUCUUUCUUCCAUCUGUGAAAGUUUGCUAACUCCUGUUUGGGGUGAGGAGAGGGGGAAAUAAAAAUAAAUCUAUGUUAGUUGAAAAAAAUUUAAUUUCAAACCAAAGUUGUUCAUUUAACCAGGAUGAAUUUACAUGAGAAAAAUGGACCUUCUCCUUUGUCUCUCUCAUGUAAUAAGUCUUGUUUACUUCCUUCAUAAUCAGUUUUGGAUCUGGCCAUUACUUUCCAGUUCCAGUGCCAUCUUUGUCAUCUCUUGACUGGAUUAUUCCAACAAUCUCCUAACUGGACUUUUUGUCUCCAGGCUGUUCCCACUUCCAUUUUAUUCUGUAUAUUGCUGCCUAACUGAACUUUCUCUGGGGAACACAGUGAUUUUUUUUUUGUCUGAUGGGAAAUUGGUCUCUUUUCAAUUUUUACCACUCAGCUCAGCCUCCAUGAUUUGCAUGGAACAUUAGGGGCAAAACAGGGUGGGGAAUUGGUAUGAGUCUCCUCAUUAAAACUUCUUUGAAUUUAUUAAAGUGGACCUCCUGAGGUGAUUUGCCCAGACUGUUGAUAUGAUAUGAAUUAGAAGGAAUUUCUUGACUAUAAAUCAGAUAAGGGUUGAAGAGAGUCCAAAAGAUUGGAGAAGAAUCAGCUCCUAAGACAAAAAAAUUUAAGGUCUUCUUUAGCCAGUUGGCUGUAGUUUGCAUAAAAAUAGAGCCAAAUUCUCACUGAGGUAUUCCUGCUCUCUGAGGAAGAACUUUUUAGCUGUAGAGGUUAGAGCUCUUUAAUCUCCUGCCUGGAGGUGACAGAGCUCAAAGCUCAGGUCCUUUGGGAGUCAAAGAGUCAAAAAUCAACCUUUCACUUUGGUCAAUUCCUGGCUAAGGGAUCCUUAUAACUAGUUUUCUUGUUAUGCUAUUUGUGUUUCUUUUCUAAAGGGAAAAAAGAGAGAAAGAUGAUUCAAUAAUUCCUGUGAUUAUCCAUAUAACCAGUUAUCACCUUGUAUAUGUGUCAUGGACCUUUUUGGCAAUCAGGUGAAGCCUAAGAAUCCCUUCUCAGAAUAAUCUUUUAAAAUAUAAACAAAAUACAUAGGAUUACAAAGGAAACCCAUUCUAUUGGAAUAUAGUUCCUAGAACCUUAGGUUAAAGAACAUUUGCUCUAAGAGGAAGGGAUCAUCAUUGUAUCUAAGGCCCAAAAGAUGAUAGAAAAGAAUGGCUCUGAAAAGAUGACCAUCAGAGAGUGACACAGCUGAGAGAUUAGAGAAGUAGAUGACCUCAACUCAGAGGAGGAUGUAGUAUUUUUAUUUUUUGAAAAUUUUAUUUGAUUAGAUGAUUUAGAAUAUUUUUCCAUGGUUACAAGACUCAUGUUUUUUUCUCCCCUAUCCCCAAGCCCCUCCCAUAGCUGAUACGCAAUUCCACUGGGUUUAACAUGUUCAUUGAUCAAGACCUUUUUCCAUAUUAUUAAUAUUUGUACCAGGGUAAUCAUUUAGAGUCAAGAUAUAGUAUUUUUAGAGAUAUGAGUUGCUUUGAGGAUGUAGAUACAUGGUCCUCAAAGUGUUCCCUCCUCUAUUUUUUUAAAUCCCUACCUUCCAUUUUAGACUCUAAGACUAGAUUCCAGGUUCCAAGGUGGAGGGGAGGUCAGAACUAGCAAUUAGGAUUUAGUGAUUUGCCCAGGGUCACACAGCUAGAAGUGUCUGAGUCCAGAUUUGAAUCCAGGACUUCUUGUCUCUGAGCCUGGCUUUCUAUUCACUGAGACACCUAGCUGCCCCUAUUCCUCCCCUACUGCUGGAGUAUAACCUGUGAGAGAGCAGAACUCUUGGUGCAUGAGGGAAUCAUUUCUCUCCAGAUGUUGCUAUGAUGUUUAAUUAAAUGUAUUUUGCUUUUAAUGUGUCUUCUGAUUGGUUGGUAAAUGAAAAUCAUUGAUGGGAAUGCAUGUACUAUGAUUUUGAAUGGAGGGUUACUCAUUCCCAUAAUUUGCUUUGAACUUAGGGUGAAGGAGAGAAGCCCUUAGGUGCUACAUUCCUAAAACAUCACUUCCAUUUCAUCACUCUCCAGCUCAAAAAUCUUCUAUGGCUUCCUAUUUCCUAUCUAAGAGCUUUCUUAACUUUUUCUCAUGCUACUUCUUAAAAUUAACUCUCUACUUUGGGCAGGCUUAUUUCAUUCAGUUGCCUUCCCUAGGGUUGGAGAUUUAGAACCUGAAGUGAUCUCAAAAGUUAUGUGGUUCAAAUCUCAUAACAAUUUCUAUGGUAUUAGUUAACCACCCCAGUUUUUUGCUAUAAGCAAAUAUAGCAAGGACCCUUUUCCCUCCCUCUACAUCUUUACUAUAUUAAUUUUUAAAAAUAAACCCUUAACUGUCUAUCUUAGUAAUAACUCUUAGACAGAGGGGCAAUGGCUAAGCAAAUGGAGUCUAUUAACUUGCCCAGGGUCACACAGCUAGAAAGUGUCUGAGGCCAGAUUUGAAUCUGGGUCUUCCCUACUCCAGGUCUGGCACUCUAUUUGCACCACCCAGCUGACCCUUUAUCUCUAUUUGUUGACAGUUUUUAUCAAUAACUUAUGCAGAGAAAAAAUUUGCUGAGAGGUGGCUAGAGAAAACUGCCACAGAGAAAGGAACUCUAGAUGAUAUCUGGCUUUAUACUGAUCAUGAACUUAGACUGUUCUUUCCAGAGAAAUGGCUAAUUCAAAGACUUACAGAAGUUGAAGAGAAGGUUUCCUCAAAGAAUGGUUCUCCGUUAGAGACUAAAAACUGAACACUAACAUGGAAUUAAAAGGAAUGACUUUUUUUUUUAUGGAAGUAAUUAUAUUUAAUAGUUGUUGGUUUUUUGUUUUUUUUUGUUUUUUAUUUAAACAUUAUUUUAUUUGGUCGUUUUCAUACAUUAUUCAUUGGAAACAAAGAUCGU